rnacentral:rRNA from 1 species
AGCGAACGCUGGCGGCAGGCCUAACACAUGCAAGUCGAACGGACCCUUCGGGGUUAGUGGCGGACGGGUGAGUAACACGUGGGAACGUGCCUUUAGGUUCGGAAUAGCUCCUGGAAACGGGUGGUAAUGCCGAAUGUGCCCUUCGGGGGAAAGAUUUAUCGCCUUUAGAGCGGCCCGCGUCUGAUUAGCUAGUUGGUGGGGGAAUGGCCCACCAAGGCUACGAUCAGUAGCUGGUCUGAGAGGAUGACCAGCCACAUUGGGACUGAGACACGGCCCAAACUCCUACGGGAGGCAGCAGUGGGGAAUCUUGCGCAAUGGGCGAAAGCCUGACGCAGCCAUGCCGCGUGGAUGAUGAAGGUCUUAGGAUUGUAAAAUCCUUUCACCGGUGAAGAUAAUGACUGUAGCCGGAGAAGAAGCCCCGGCUAACUUCGUGCCAGCCGCCGCGUAACAC